rnacentral:ncRNA from 2 species
GCGGGAACAUCUGGAGAGCGGCGCUUAACGCGCCCACCGAAGGGGAUUUCCGCCCGCCCGGCAACGGGAUGCGCGCGGAAAGAAACUCUCAGGUACAUGGACAGAUGGGGCAUG